GAGUUUGAUCAUGGCUCAGGAUGAACGCUAGCUACAGGCUUAACACAUGCAAGUCGAGGGGCAGCAUGAUCGAAGCUUGCUUUGAUUGAUGGCGACCGGCGCACGGGUGAGUAACGCGUAUCCAACCUUCCCUGUAGUAGAGAAUAGCCCGGCGAAAAGUCGGAUUAAUGCUCUAUGUUGUAUUUCGAAGACAUCUGAAAGAAUACCAAAAGGUUUUACCGCUAUAGGAUGGGGAUGCGUCUGAUUAGGUUGUUGGCGGGGUAACGGCCCACCAAGCCCACGAUCAGUAGGGGUUCUGAGAGGAAGGUCCCCCACAUUGGAACUGAGACACGGUCCAAACUCCUACGGGAGGCAGCAGUGAGGAAUAUUGGUCAAUGGACGGAAGUCUGAACCAGCCAAGUAAGCGUGCAGGAUGACGGCCCUAUGGGUUGUAAACUGCUUUUAUAUAGGGAUAAAGUCGGGGACGUGUCCCCGUUUGUAGGUACUAUAUGAAUAAGGACCGGCUAAUUCCGUGCCAGCCGCAGC
rnacentral:rRNA from 1 species